rfam:Oryza nivara chromosome 3, whole genome shotgun sequence.
AAUAAGUGCAGUUUUGCACUAUUCAUGUCUAACCUUUGACCGUUCAUCUUAUUUGAAUUUUUUUAAUAAUUAGUAUUUUUAUUGUUAUUAGAUGAUAAAACAUGAAUAGUACUUUAUAUGGGACUAUUUUUUUCAAUUUUUUCAUAAUUUUUUCAAAUAAGACGGACGGUCAAACGUUGGACACGGAUACCCACGGCUGCACUUGGG